GUAUAUAUUAUCAAUAGGGAUAUAUAUAUAUUACAGAUGUAGCUUGUCUUCGAGUAUAUAUAUGUGCAUAUAAUUGGUGAUUAUGACGGUUUACCUUGUAAGUUAUUCGCAUUGUUAGUCAAGUGAGUGUUAAAAUAUCGGCUACUUUAUAAUAUGCAUGUAUAUAUAUAUUGGUAAGUAUAGGUGGAAAUUAUAUGUACAAAUAUUAUUUAUUUACAGGUGGAUAGCAGAGGUAUUUGAUUCGUGAGUAGCGUAUGAAUACUUCACAGUUCUACUGUACGCAUCCGUAUCCCUUCGACCAGAAAAAUUCUUUCUAUAUCUGUGAGAUCGUUAUAGACGGUCAGGCACAAGAGGCAUGAGGUGGCGGGUUGUAAGUCCGCUAAGUCUAUCUCACAUGUGUAACACCGUGACACUUGUGUCCUCGCAGGCACUCCGCAUAUGAAAUGUGUUGGUGGGGCAUCACACAGUCCUUGGUCGUCCGGAUCCAAGUUGUCAAAACAGUUCUGGCACAAAUAAUCCCUGUCUAAUUGGUAGACGGGGCGUAUUAGCUGAACGCAGAGGCAGGACUGAACCUCCUCUUCCGCAUCCAGAUCGGCUGCGGGCGCGAGACCGUCCGGGUUGUUGGGGUUGACAAGUUCACCACCAGUUCUGUACACACAUACGAAAACGAUUCUGCUUUUUCGAUGCUGCGUUACUUACUUGGAUCAUUCCCACAACAUCAUCCGAUUCUUUGAUACGCCUUGAAUACUUACUACGGCUGCCUUCAAUCGUCUUAUAUCUGUGGUCAUAAAGCUGGCUGUUGUACAUGGUGUUUCGCAAACCGAGAUCCAUAACCUAUUUUGCACGUAAACCUUCUCGUAUGAUGAUUACUUGUUCACAAGGUAACUUCCACUUUCACUCUUUUAAUUAUUUAUUGAAUCAACACUUUUUAUAUUCAAACAAUAAUUGGAGUACACAUAAUAAUUUUUCUUUUUUUCUUUUAGGUUUUCGCUAUCUGUAUUAUUCGACAAACAGUGUCACACCUCCUUUAGAUUUAUCCACAAUAUAGUUAUAACAUUUAGUAA